AUUGAACGCUGGCGGCAGGCUUAACACAUGCAAGUCGAGCGGAGAUGAGGUGCUUGCACCUUAUCUUAGCGGCGGACGGGUGAGUAAUGCUUAGGAAUCUGCCUAUUAGUGGGGGACAACAUCCCGAAGGGGAUGCUAAUACCGCAUACGUCCUACGGGAGAAAAGCAGGGGAUCUUCGGACCUUGCGCUAAUAGAUGAGCCUAAGUCGGAUUAGCUAGUUGGUGGGGUAAAGGCCUACCAAGGCGACGAUCUGUAGCGGGUCUGAGAGGAUGAUCCGCCACACUGGGACUGAGACACGGCCCAGACUCCUACGGGAGGCAGCAGUGGGGAAUAUUGGACAAUGGGGGGAACCCUGAUCCAGCCAUGCCGCGUGUGUGAAGAAGGCCUUAUGGUUGUAAAGCACUUUAAGCGAGGAGGAGGCUACUGAGACUAAUACUCUUGGAUAGUGGACGUUACUCGCAGAAUAAGCACCGGCUAACUCUGUG
rnacentral:rRNA from 1 species